CCGCACUAUCAGAUAACAGAUGAUCAGUCAAUGUUGCGUGAAGCUGCGUCCACUGAUCUUAAUAUACAAUCGUUCCAUCCUCAGCAGUCAUCGGAUUGUCUGCAUGUGGGAAUCAACAGUGGUUGCUCUGAUCGAAAAAAAGUGUGAACCCCCAGCAAGCUGCUGCCACUGAAGGCCUGGAGAGAUGCCUGACGGCCUGCUGGCCAUAUCUCUCAAGAGCACCCUAUGUCAUGAUGACCUCUUGAAUUAGAGCCAAAGCACUGUGGCUGGCCGACACACUUUACCCCAUAAUUUCCAUCGAUUCCUGUGGACAAAUACUCAUACUGUCCCUGCAGGUGAAUAGUGCUGUUAUUGAAGUGGCUGUCAACAGACACUGUGGCUGGGAGAAAACCCAGUCUUGAAGGAUGUUUCUAAGAAAAUAAAGACUGCUUUGCUGCAUAGUUCUAUACGUCAUUUACACUGAAAGAUCCAUGUAGCUUCAGCCUUUCCCAGUUUUCAGGCGAUCUGGUCCUUGUGUGGAGGGGGUUCUUCUCCAGAGACCUGAUCCAGCGAUGCUCCCACAGACUCAUGGCACGGGUUUUAUUUGGGGAUAUCACUUCCUGUCCCUGUUCCCCUCUAUGGACCUGGCCCUCCGUUCCUCCCCCUGAUCCUCCACCAGUCCACCUCCCUCCUGGUCUCUUUGUUCUUUGGUUUGUUUUUGUGUUCUGAGGAGGAUGUGGUAGCUGCUCCUUAGAAAACAGCAAAAACAAAACAAAGAGACCAAGGCGGUUUGAAAGUUCACAGGCUCAGGGCAGUGCCGACAGAGCAGGAAUCCAGGGUGGAGCAGGUGGAACUGGAGCCCAACGGGUCGGAACCGAAGUCCACCACAGCCGAGCAGAUGAGACAGAAGCCCACCAGGGCAGAGCAGAAGACCACUACAGCUAUGAGGACGAGACAGAAGCCCACCAAAGCGGCGCAGAGGACCACCACAGUCUUGCGGAUGAGACGGAAGCCCAGCAGGGCGGCGCAGAGGACCACCACAGCCAAGCAGAUGAGAUAAAAGCCCACCAGGGCGGUGUGGAGGACCACCACAGCCAAGCAAACAAAACAGAAGCCUACCAGGGUGGAGCAUAGGGCCACCACAGCCGUGCGGAUGAGACAGAAGCCCACCAGGGUGGUGCAGAGGACCACCACAACCGUGCCGAUGAGACAGAAGUCUGGUUAGGUAAGACUGAAACACAGAACAUGAUCAGAUUAAGGGUGGCCUCCAUGGCCAUGAUGAGAUGGUAGAUGGCCUCCAUGGCCAUGACAGGGCAGAUGGUGAGUUUAUGGAUGGCCUCCAUGGCCAUAACAGGAUAGGACGAGCACUCUGGAAGUUCAGCUGAGACGUGACGAGGCUCUGGAAGUUCAGCUGAGACGUGACUAGGCUCUGGAAGUUCAGCUGAGACGUGAUGAAGCUCUGGUAGAUCCGUGGUGAUUUGAUUGGGUUCAGGAAGAUCAACUGUGGCUUGACUUGACUCAUGAAGGUUAAUGGUGACUUGACUUUGUUCAUGAAUAUCAUUGGUGAGUUGAUUGUGCUCAUGAAGAUCAUUGGUGACUUGACUUUGCUUAUGAAGAUCAUUGGUGACUUGACUUUGCUCAUGAAGAUCAAUAAUGACUUGACUUAUGAGGUCUAACUGUGGUUUUGCUUAACUCAUGAGUGUUAAUGGUCACUUGACCUGACUCAAUGGUCAAUGGUGAUCUGACUUGACUCUGGGAAAUCAACGGGGACCUGAUCAGCAGGGACCUGACUCG